AAAUCAUCCCUUUAAACGAAGCAAUGCGUAACUAUAUACACCCGGUUACGGAUCAUCUAUGAUGUGUUUCAUAAGUUGUUGCAUAUGUGAUCAUAUUCGAAAUGGAUUUAAUUCAGCUGAAAACAUUUUUGGUAUGGGCUUCAAUAUGCGGCCUUUUGAAGACAACUUGCGGCGUUACAGUAAAGUAUAUGUGCUUGCCUUCACAAGUGACCGGAAGUGAGUUUAAAUUCACAGUGAGGCUGAGGAAAGAUGGUGAUAAUACUAUAAUAGGGAUUGCAGCUGUAGCCUCGAACAUAAACCCAAACGCAGACAAUACAC